rnacentral:rRNA from 1 species
CUUAAAGGAAUUGACGGGACCCGCACAAGCGUGGAUGAUGUGGUUUAAUUCGAUGCAACGCGAAAACCUUACCACCUUUGACAUGUACGGAAGCCUUUAGAGAUAGAGGCGUGCUCGAAAGAGAGCCGUAACACAGGUGCUGCAUGGCUGUCGUCAGCUCGUGUCGUGAGAUGUUGGGUUAAGUCCCGCAACGAGCGCAACCCUUGUCAUUAGUUGCUACAUUCAGUUGGGCACUCUAAUGAGACUGCCGGUGACAAGCCGGAGGAAGGUGGGGAUGACGUCAAGUCCUCAUGGCCCUUAUAGGUGGGGCUACACACGUCAUACAAUGGCUGGUACAAAGGGUUGCCAACCCGCGAGGGGGAGCUAAUCCCAUAAAGCCAGUCGUAGUCCGGAUCGUAGUCUGCAACUCGACUACGUGAAGUCGGAAUCGCUAGUAAUCGUGGAUCAGAAUGUCACGGUGAAUACGUUCUCGGGUCUU